rnacentral:rRNA from 1 species
CGUAGGUGGCGAGCGUUGUCCGGAAUUAUUGGGCGUAAAGGGAGCGCAGGCGGGAAGGUAAGUCUAUCUUAAAAAGUGCGGGGCUCAACCCCGUGAGGGGAUGGAAACUAUCUUUCUUGAGUGCAGGAGAGGAAAGCGGAAUUCCUAGUGUAGCGGUGAAAUGCGUAGAUAUUAGGAGGAACACCAGUGGCGAAGGCGGCUUUCUGGACUGUAACUGACGCUGAGGCUCGAAAGCGUGGGGAGCGA